rnacentral:rRNA from 3 species
GAGUUUGAUCGUGGCUCAGAUUGAACGCUGGCGGCAUGCCUUACACAUGCAAGUCGAACGGCAGCACGGGAGCUUGCCCCUGGUGGCGAGUGGCGAACGGGUGAGUAAUGCAUCGGAACGUAUCCUGGAGUGGGGGAUAACGUAGCGAAAGUUACGCUAAUACCGCAUAUUCUGUGAGCAGGAAAGCGGGGGACCUUCGGGCCUCGCGCUCUUGGAGCGGCCGAUGUCGGAUUAGCUAGUUGGUGAGGUAAAGGCUCACCAAGGCGACGAUCCGUAGCAGGUCUGAGAGGAUGAUCUGCCACACUGGAACUGAGACACGGUCCAGACUCCUACGGGAGGCAGCAGUGGGGAAUUUUGGACAAUGGGGGCAACCCUGAUCCAGCCAUGCCGCGUGAGUGAAGAAGGCC